UCUGGUCACUAAACAUCCAGUCUUCACUUAUCAAAUGUGUAAAAUUCAAGACUGGUCCCAACAAGGCAAAAACUGCAUAGCCACACAAGUCCCAGCGUUUCCCACAGCAGCAGCAGCAGCAGCAGCAGUGAAAAGAAAGUGGAUAAAGGAUGAAUGAGUCUGUGCUUAUCGGGUCUCCGGUCUCCCCCAAGCUGGCGUUGUUGUUGGUAGCCAUGACAACGGAGAUAGUCCCAGCUUUGUAAAUAAAGGCCCCAACACCCUAAAAAAAAGAAAAACAGAAAAGGCAAAAAAAGGUCGGGAUUCCCGGCGCAGACCGGGAAUCCCCCUAGCAGACCGAAGCUCUAGACAGGACUCGGCAUGAGUGAGACUCGAACCAUCGCCCGUCUGUACUUCAAGGUGCCAGGGGCCGGCGACAAGUGCUCUGCGCCACCUGCCAGGCCGUGGAAUUAGUGCAAAUGUGUUUGUUUUCAUCUUAAACCAUUGUCAGUGACGUCAUUCUACGCGACUACCACAGGUGAAGGUGCUGCCCACCCAUGAUGCCAGCAAGGUGCGUGCAAGUGGAUCCGGCCUUAAAACCACUGGAGUGCCCAGCUCUCUGCCAGUGAAGUUCAACAUUGAUGGCAAAGAUGCAGGUGAGGGACUGCUGGCAGUGCAGAUCACUGUGAGCGCAUGUGAUCUGCUAUUCCUCUUUGAAUAGUACGCUGGUUGCCCCCGGAGUUCGAGUCUCCGGGAGGAAAUCCUGGUGGUUUGAGGCCCCAGGCUUGUGUUGGGUACGGUCCAUCACAAGGACAUUGGCUCGAGCGCGCUGUUGGGGAGAAGCCGGCCCAGACCUGUGUUCGAUCCAAGUACGCCACAGGGACAGCGGUUCGGGUACGCUGUCGGAGUCCAUUUCUGCAUACUAUAGUGCACGGAGUGGUGGUGUUCGUUCCUUGGUCCGUAGAAGGCAAGGGCCUCACGGGGGACGCCUCGUGUAGUAAAAUGGGAUCUAGAUCCAGUAGAGCGGCAGACGUUUCACCAGGCGGCCAGGGACAAAACUCAAUGUGUGACUGUAUGGUAAGAACUGAGUAAAUGUGUGGUGUGUAAGAUUGCAGAGAAUGGUUGUGUGGGAAAAGUUGAUGUGUGUGUAAAAAAAAAAAAAAAAAAAACAGUGAAAAAUUGGGUUCAAAAUGUUGAAAAUGGGGAACAAAAAACAAGAAAAGAAAAAAGAGGAGUGUAAAAGUCGUCUCGUCUCCAACUAGCGGAAGGUGGUGGUCCUGCAGACCACCAGCUCCCCUAGUGUGGACACACAAAAAAUUUCUUUUUAGCAGAA